rnacentral:rRNA from 1 species
UCGAACGAGAAAGUGGAGCAAUCCAUGAGUAAAGUGGCGACCGGGUGAGUAACACGUGACUAACCUGCCUUCGAGUGGGGGAUAACCUCGGGAAACCGGGGCUAAUACCGCAUAAUGCCUUCGGGUUAAAGGAGCAAUUCGCUUGAAGAGGGGGUCGCGGCUGAUUAGCUAGUUGGCGGGGUAACGGCCCACCAAGGCGAUGAUCGGUAGCCGGCCUGAGAGGGCGCACGGCCACACUGGAACUGAAACACGGUCCAGACUCCUACGGGAGGCAGCAGUGGGGAAUUUUGCGCAAUGGGGGAAACCCUGACGCAGCAACGCCGCGUGGAGGAUGAAGUCCCUUGGGACGUAAACUCCUUUCGACCGGGACGAUAAUGACGGUACCGGUGGAAGAAGCCCCGGCUAACUUCGUGCCAGCAGCCGCGGUAAUACGAGGGGGGCGAGCGUNGUUCGGAAUUAUUGGGCGUAAAGGGCGCGUAGGCGGUGCGGUAAGUCACCUGUGAAACCUCUGGGCUUAACUCAGAGCCUGCAGGCGAAACUGCCGUGCUG